AUGGCCCUCCUCGCCGCGGCCCGCCGGGCCUCCUCCCUAUCCAUCAUCCGAGGGGCCUCCACGCUUCUCCGCCCCACGUCCUCGUCGGCGACGGCGAUCAGGUGGAGCUCGUCCUCCUCCCUCGACGCCGCAGUCUCCUCCUUCGAGUCCUCCGGCGCCUCCCUCAUCGCCGCACUGGACUCUUACCGUCACAGCACCGUGACCGAGGAGUCCGCCCGUACCGUGUUGGGCCCCCUCCGUGCCUUCUUGACCGAGACCGAAUCCCUGAGCGCCACCAUGUUCGACCUUGAGCUCCUCGGCGCCAUCGACUCCGCGAUCAAGUCCCGCAACAAGGACGGCGAGGCCCCCACCGAGCUCCAGUGUCUCCUCGCUAAGAUAGAGGAGACCGGGGAUUACUUUCCCUUUGAAAUCUCUGAAAAUAAGUGUCGUGUCAGCAUUACACUUACAAGAACUUUAAAGGGUGAGAAGAUUGAGGUUGUGGCAUCAAAGCCCUGCUUGGACGAUGGCGACGACGACAAUAACUCCUCAUGCACCUCGCAUGAGGAUGUAGAAUCGUCUUCAGCGUCCUCGAACGAGAAUCUAGAAGAAGACGGUGGCCAGAAGAACAAAUUAAGAUCUAGCAUCAACCUAGAGGUCACCAUCUCCAAGGGCGAUGGCUCAAAGCUUGCGUUCACCUGCUUCGCGUAUCCCGACAAUAUAACCAUCCAUUCCAUGUGCAUGUUGUCGCGGACAGCUAAAGAUGAUGUUCAGGCUACAUAUUACGAUUUCGAUAAGCUUGAAGAGAACCUGCAGAAGUCAUUCGUGAAGUAUCUGGACCUGCGCGGGGUCACGCCAACGACGACAAACUUGUUGCGUGUGUACUUGAGCAGCAAGGUCCAGUCCAAGGAUCUGCUGAUGCUGACCAAGCUGCAGGAUUUCAUCAAGAAAGACUGA
rnacentral:rRNA from 1 species